UUGAGAUCGCGGCGACGUGGGUGGUUCGCCGCCGGCGACGUCGCGAGAAUUCCACUGAACCUUAUCAUUUAGAGGAAGGAGAAGUCGUAACAAGGUUUCCGUAGGUGAACCUGCGGAAGGAUCAUUGUCGAACCCUGCAAGGCAGAACGACCCGUGAACUUGUAAAAACAACUAGGUGAUGGUGUGAUGGGCCUUGGUCCUGAUCAACAAAACCUCCCGGCAUUGCUUUCAUGUUGCCUCAUUUGCGGUACCAUGAAUGUCAUGUUGGACCAUAACAAACCCCGGCACGGCAUGUGCCAAGGAAAAUGAAAAUGAGAAGGUUUUCACCUGUUUUGCCCCGUUUGCGGUGUGCAUACAGGUGCUAGCCUCCUUGGAAUUACAAACGACUCUCGGCAACGGAUAUCUCGGCUCACGCAUCGAUGAAGAACGUAGCAAAAUGCGAUACUUGGUGUGAAUUGCAGAAUCCCGUGAACCAUCGAGUUUUUGAACGCAAGUUGCGCCCAAAGCCAUCAGGCUAAGGGCACGCCUGCCUGGGCGUCACACAUCGCGUCGCCCCCCUCCAUACAUUCCAAACUGGAACUAUAGGUGUUGGGGCGGAAAUUGGCCUCCCGUUCUUGAAGUGCGGUUAGCCUAAAUAGGAGUCCCCUUCGGCGGACACACAACUAGUGGUGGUUGUAUAGACCCUCUUCUUGUGUUGUGUGUUGUAAGCUGUGAGGGAAGUUCUCAUUAAAAGACCCCACUGUAUCAUCCUUGGAUGUUACAUCGACCGCGACCCCAGGUCAGACGGGACUACCCGCUGAGUUUAAGCAUAUCAAUAAGCGGA
rnacentral:rRNA from 1 species